AAUACCCUAUUAUUUUAAAAGUAAUUUAAUAAAUCUAAUUAGUAAUAGUUAAGUUCUUGAAAAUUAAAGAAUUUGGCGGUAUUUUAGUCUAUUCAGAGGAAUCUGUCCUAUAAUUGAUAACCCACGAUUUUUUAUACCUAAUUUAUUAAUUUACAUAUCGCCGUAGUUUGAAUAUUUUUUGAAAAUUAUAAUAUUCAUAAUAUAUUUUUAUAAAGAAAAUCAGGUCAAGGUGUAGUUUAUAGUCAGGAAGAGAUGGGUUACAGUAAAAGUAUUUAUUAUGGAUUAAUUAAUUAAAUUUUUUUAUGAAGGUGGAUUUGAAAGUAAUUUUAUUUA
rnacentral:rRNA from 1 species